UGACGGAAUAGAAUAGUUGGCAGUUCGUCAGUUUUAUAUACCGAAGGCGUUGGUUCAAAUCCAACUUCCGCAA
rnacentral:tRNA from 1 species